rnacentral:rRNA from 1 species
AGAGUUUGAUCCUGGCUCAGAAUCAACGCUGGCGGCGCGCUUAACACAUGCAAGUCGAGCGAGAAAAGGGGGCAACCCCCGAGUAAAGCGGCGUACGGGUGAGUAACACGUGGAUUAUCUACCUUUUAGUGGGGAAUAACUUUGGGAAACCGAAGCUAAUACCGCAUAAGCCUGUAAAGGGAAAGCCCUAUUGUAAAAGAUGGGGCGCUGGAAGAAGAGUCCGCGGCCGAUUAGCUAGUUGGUGAGGUAAUGGCUCACCAAGGCGACGAUCGGUAGCCGGCCUGAGAGGGCACACGGCCACACUGGCACUGAAACACGGGCCAGACUCCUACGGGAGGCAGCAGUGGGGAAUCUUGCACAAUGGACGAAAGUCUGAUGCAGCGACGCCGCGUGAGCGAUGAAGCCCUUCGGGGUGUAAAGCUCUUUCGGCAGGGACGAUAAUGACGGUACCUGAAGGAGAAGCUGCGGCUAACUACGUGCCAGCAGCCGCGGUAAUACGUAGGCAGCAAGCGUUGUUCGGAAUUACUGGGCGUAAAGAGUGUGUAGGCGGUGCUCUAAGUUUGGUGUGAAAUCUCCCGGCUUAACUGGGAGGGUGCGCCGAAAACUGGAAUGCUUGAACAUGGGAGAGGAAAGCGGAAUUCCUGGUGUAGCGGUGAAAUGCGUAGAUAUCAGGAGGAACACCUGCGGUGUAGACGGCUUUCUGGACCAUUGUUGACGCUGAGACACGAAAGCGUGGGUAGCAAACAGGAUUAGAUACCCUGGUAGUCC